CCUGCCACUAUGCCAGUCACAGUGAUUGAGUGUAAUCCAGUGGAGGCUCAGAGAGACCCGGCUUUAGGAAACAGGGCUGUUCUCACUAAUGGGCAACUCUGUGCCGAAAAGUCUGGAACAUAC